GCAGCAGCUCCAGAUACAACACAGCAGUUUCUUUAUUUCACCCUGUGGGACAAAUUAAAAUUUGACACAGCAGCACGGGGAAAAUGUGGUGCAAAAUGUAAAAAAUUAUAAAUUACAAUAAAGAAUACCAAGUAAAAAUAUUAUCAAAAUAUAUAAAGACUAUAUAUCUAUUAUAAUAUUUACAGUAUAUGCAGUAUGCAAGUAAGAGAUGUGGUGUGCAAAAAUAUUUUAAACAGUGUUAACGAAACUGUACAUGUUAUUUGUAAUGUGCAAAUUAUUAGAGUUUGUGCAAGAGCAGAAAAAUUUAAUUAAAACCGCAUAAUCAGCAGAGGUUGGAGAUACUGGGUGCUGUGGUUGAGGAGGUUGGAGAUACUGGGUGCUGUGGUUGAGGAGGUUGGAGAUACUGGGUGCUGUGGUUGAGGAGGUUGGAGGUACUGGGUGCUGUGGUUGAGGAGGUUGGAGAUACUGGGUGCUGUGGUUGAGGAGGUUGGAGAUACUGGGUGCUGUGGUUGAGGAGGUUGGAGGUACUGGGUGCUGUGGUUGUGGAGGUUGGAGGUACUGGGUGCUGUGGUUGAGGAGGUUGGAGGUACUGGGUGCUGUGGUUGAGGAGGUUGGUGGUACUGGGUGCUGUGGUUGAGGAGGUUGAUGGUACUGGGUGCUGUGGUUGAGGAGGUUGGUGGUACUGGGUGCUGUGGUUGAGGAGGUUGGAGAUACUGGGUGCUGUGUUUGAGGAGGUUGGAGGUACUGGGUGCUGUGGUUGUGGAGGUUGGAGGUACUGGGUGCUGUGGUUGAGGAGGUUGGAGGUACUGGGUGCUGUGGUUGAGGAGGUUGGAGGUACUGGGUGCUGUGGUUGAGGAGGUUGGAGGUACUGGGUGCUGUGGUUGAGGAGGUUGGAGGUACUGGGUGCUGUGGUUGUGGAGUCUGAUGGCUGACGAGCCUCCGAACCGCUUUGAGUCUCGGGGCUGGAUCAGUCUGUGGCUUAAAGUUCCAAUCUGUAAUAUAAAAUUAUCAUAAGUA